rnacentral:rRNA from 1 species
UACGUAGGGUGCGAGCGUUAAUCGGAAUUACUGGGCGUAAAGCGUGCGCAGGCGGUAAGUUAAGUCUGAUGUGAAAGCCCCGGGCUCAACCUGGGAAUGGCAUUGGAAACUGGCUUGCUAGAGUGUGGCAGAGGGGGGUGGAAUUCCGCGUGUAGCGGUGAAAUGCGCAGAUAUCGGGAGGAACACCAAUGGGCGAAGGCAGCUCGCUGGGACGUUACUGACGCUGAGACGCGAAAGCGUGGGGAGCAAACAGG